CUAUUUGUUUUGAGGGCAGCUGGGUUUCUGCUGCCAUGCUACAUCAUGGCUUGGGCUGUUAGUAUCAUGCAGCGUCAAAGACAAAAAACAGUGUUUUGAUUUGUGAGGGAGGAUCGAGGUCUGGGGUGAGGAAUAUAUGUUGCUUCUGCAGUUAGGUUGGGGUCAUGUUGGAGCAGUGAGCCCGGUGGUGAAUUGAACUGCUAUAUAUCAAGGAGAUGUGUUUCUUUCACCCAGUUGUAAUUCGGAAGGCAACAAAGAUGAAAAAACAAGUUCUGCUUGAUUGCCUUUGAUUUAGGAUACGCAUCAACUGAGUAGUGCACUCCUUUUGGCUCAAGGCAGAUUGGUUCUAAUGGUUAACCAACAUUCUGAUAGGCAAUAUAUAGAAAGAGGCAACUCAACAAUCCUUGUGGCGUGUGUAUAGUGUUAAGUAUCCUAUAUUAAAUAUUCUUUGUUAUAGCAGGCAGCUAAGUUUACUCCUCUGACAGAUUUUCCUUUCAUCAUCAUUUGAUAUGAUAGCGAUUGAGAGAAGUCUAGAUCAAAUGAUUUAUGCUAGGAAAAUGAUUGUUUUCCACACAAUUUGGUCUAUAAGGUAUCUACUUUGAGAUAAUAAAUGAAACAGUUUC